rnacentral:rRNA from 1 species
UACGAAGGGUGCAAGCGUUACUCGGAAUUACUGGGCGUAAAGCGUGCGUAGGUGGUUUGUUAAGUCUGUUGUGAAAGCCCCGGGCUCAACCUGGGAAUGGCAAUGGAUACUGGCAGGCUAGAGUGCGGUAGAGGGUAGUGGAAUUCCCGGUGUAGCGGUGAAAUGCGUAGAGAUCGGGGAGGAACACCAGUGGCGAAGGCGGCUACCUGGACCAACACUGACACUGAGGCACGAAAGCGUGGGGAGCAAACAGG